AUUGAACGCUGGCGGCAGGCCUAACACAUGCAAGUCGAACGGUAACAGGAAACAGCUUGCUGUUUCGCUGACGAGUGGCGGACGGGUGAGUAAUGUCUGGGAAACUGCCUGAUGGAGGGGAAUAACUACUGGAAACGGUAGCUAAUACCGCAUAACGUCGCAAGACCAAAGAGGGGGACCUUCGGGCCUCUUGCCAUCGGAUGUGCCCAGAUGGGAUUAGCUAGUAGGUGGGGUAACGGCUCACCUAGGCGACGAUCCCUAGCUGGUCUGAGAGGAUGACCAGCCAAACUGGAACUGAGACACGGUCCAGACUCCUACGGGAGGCAGCAGUGGGGAAUAUUGCACAAUGGGCGCAAGCCUGAUGCAGCCAUGCCGCGUGUAUGAAGAAGGCCUUCGGGUUGUAAAGUACUUUCAGCGGGGAGGAAGGGAGUAAAGUUAAUACCUUUGCUCAUUGACGUUACCCGCAGAAGAAGCACCGGCUAACUCCGUGCCAGCAGCCGCCGUAA
rnacentral:rRNA from 1 species